CCUACGGGCGGCAGCAGUGAGGAAUAUUGGUCAAUGGGCGCGAGCCUGAACCAGCCAAGUAGCGUGCAGGAUGACUGCCCUACGGGUUGUAAACUUCUUUUAUAAAGGAAUAAAGUGAGGCACGUGUGCCUUCUUGUAAGUACUUUAUGAAUAAGGAUCGGCUAACUCCGUGCCAGCAGCCGCGGUAAUACGGAGGAUCCGAGCGUUAUCCGGAUUUAUUGGGUUUAAAGGGAGCGUAGAUGGGUUGUUAAGUCAGUUGUGAAAGUUUGCGGCUCAACCGUAAAAGUGCAAUUGAUACUGGCAGGCUAGAGUGUAGUUGAGGUAGGCGGAAUUCAUGGUGUAGUGGUGAAAUGCUUAGAGAUCACGAAGAACACCGAUUGCGAAGGCAGCUUACUAAACUGCCACUGACAUUGAUGCUCGAAAGUGUGGGUAUCAAACAGGAUUAGAUACCCUUGUAGUC
rnacentral:rRNA from 1 species